CCUACGGGUGGCUGCAGUGGGGAAUAUUGGACAAUGGGCGAAAGCCUGAUCCAGCCAUGCCGCGUGAGUGAAGAAGGCCUUCGGGUUGUAAAGCACUUUCAGUGGGGAAGAAAGCCUUGGGGCUAAUACCCUCGAGGAAGGACAUCACCCACAGAAGAAGCACCGGCUAACUCCGUGCCAGCAGCCGCGGUAAUACGGAGGGUGCGAGCGUUAAUCGGAAUUACUGGGCGUAAAGCGCGCGUAGGCGGUCUGAUAAGCCGGUUGUGAAAGCCCCGGGCUCAACCUGGGAACGGCAUCCGGAACUGUCAGGCUAGAGUGCAGGAGAGGAAGGUAGAAUUCCCGGUGUAGCGGUGAAAUGCGUAGAGAUCGGGAGGAAUACCAGUGGCGAAGGCGGCCUUCUGGACUGACACUGACGCUGAGGUGCGAAAGCGUGGGUAGCAAACAGGAUUAGAUACCGUGUAGUC
rnacentral:rRNA from 1 species